rnacentral:rRNA from 1 species
GACGAACGCUGGCGGCGUGCUUAACACAUGCAAGUCGAACGGAAAGGCCCUGCUUUUGUGGGGUGCUCGAGUGGCGAACGGGUGAGUAACACGUGAGUAACCUGCCCUUGACUUUGGGAUAACUUCAGGAAACUGGGGCUAAUACCGGAUAGGAGCUCCUGCUGCAUGGUGGGGGUUGGAAAGUUUCGGCGGUUGGGGAUGGACUCGCGGCUUAUCAGCUUGUUGGUGGGGUAGUGGCUUACCAAGGCUUUGACGGGUAGCCGGCCUGGGAGGGUGACCGGCCACGUUGGGACUGAGAUGCGACCCAGACUCCUACGGGAGGCAGCAGUGGGGAAUAUUGCACUAUAGGCGGAAGCCUGAUGCAGCAACGCCGCGUGCGGGAUGACGGCCUUCGGUUUGUAAACCGCUUUCGCCUGUGACGAAGCGUGAGUGACGGUAAUGGGUAAAGAAGCACCGGCUAACUACGUG